rnacentral:rRNA from 1 species
AGAGUUUGAUCAUGGCUCAGAUUGAACGCUGGCGGCAUGCCUUUACACAUGCAAGUCGAACGGCAGCAUGAUCUAGCUUGCUAGAUUGAUGGCGAGUGGCGAACGGGUGAGUAAUACAUCGGAACGUGCCCUGUAGUGGGGGAUAACUAGUCGAAAGAUUAGCUAAUACCGCAUACGACCUGAGGGUGAAAGUGGGGGACCGCAAGGCCUCAUGCUAUAGGAGCGGCCGAUGUCUGAUUAGCUAGUUGGUGAGGUAAAGGCUCACCAAGGCGACGAUCAGUAGCUGGUCUGAGAGGACGAUCAGCCACACUGGGACUGAGACACGGCCCAGACUCCUACGGGAGGCAGCAGUGGGGAAUUUUGGACAAUGGGCGAAAGCCUGAUCCAGCAAUGCCGCGUGUGUGAAGAAGGCCUUCGGGUUGUAAAGCACUUUUGUCCGGAAAGAAAUGGCUCUUGUUAAUACCUGGGGUCGAUGACGGUACCGGAAGAAUAAGGACCGGCUAACUACGUGCCAGCAGCCGCGGUAAUACGUAGGGUCCAAGCGUUAAUCGGAAUUACUGGGCGUAAAGCGUGCGCAGGCGGUUGUGCAAGACCGAUGUGAAAUCCCCGAGCUUAACUUGGGAAUUGCAUUGGUGACUGCACGGCUAGAGUGUGUCAGAGGGGGGUAGAAUUCCACGUGUAGCAGUGAAAUGCGUAGAGAUGUGGAGGAAUACCGAUGGCGAAGGCAGCCCCCUGCGAUAACACUGACGCUCAUGCACGAAAGCGUGGGGAGCAAACAGGAUUAGAUACCCUGCUAGUCCACGCCCUAAACGAUGUCAACUAGUUGUUGGGGAUUCAUUUCCUUAGUAACGUAGCUAACGCGUGAAGUUGACCGCCUGGGGUAGUACGGUCGCAAGAUUAAAACUCAAAGGAAUUGACGG